UGGGGAAUAUUGCACAAUGGGCGCAAGCCUGAUGCAGCCAUGCCGCGUGUGUGAAGAAGGCCUUCGGGUUGUAAAGCACUUUCAGCGGGGAGGAAGGCGAUAAGGUUAAUAACCUUGUCGAUUGACGUUACCCGCAGAAGAAGCACCGGCUAACUCCGUGCCAGCAGCCGCGGUAAUACGGAGGGUGCAAGCGUUAAUCGGAAUUACUGGGCGUAAAGCGCACGCAGGCGGUCUGUCAAGUCGGAUGUGAAAUCCCCGGGCUCAACCUGGGAACUGCAUUCGAAACUGGCAGGCUAGAGUCUUGUAGAGGGGGGUAGAAUUCCAGGUGUAGCGGUGAAAUGCGUAGAGAUCUGGAGGAAUACCGGUGGCGAAGGCGGCCCCCUGGACAGAGACUGACGCUCAGGUGCGAAAGCGUGGGGAGCAAACAGG
rnacentral:rRNA from 1 species